GAGUUUGAUCCUGGCUCAGAACGAACGCUGGCGGCGUGCCUAACACAUGCAAGUCGAACGUGAUCCAGAGCUUGCUCUGGUGAAAGUGGCGCACGGGUGAGUAACGCGUGGAUAACCUACCCUGGUAUCCGGGAUAACACUCCGAAAGGGGUGCUAAUACCGGAUAAGCCCACGGGCUCUUUGGAGCUUGCGGGAAAAGGUGGCCUCUAUUUAUAAGCUACUGUAUCAGGAUGGGUCCGCGUACCAUUAGCUAGUUGGCGGUGUAACGGACCACCAAGGCGACGAUGGUUAGCUGGUCUGAGAGGAUGAUCAGCCACACUGGAACUGAGACACGGUCCAGACUCCUACGGGAGGCAGCAGUGGGGAAUUUUGCGCAAUGGGGGAAACCCUGACGUAGCAACGCCGCGUGAGUGAUGAAGGCCUUUGGGUCGUAAAGCUCUGUCAGAGGGGAAGAAAUGAUAUAGUGCUAAUACCACUUUAUCUUGACGGUACCCUCAAAGGAAGCACCGGCUAACUCCGUGCCAGCAGCCGCGGUAAUAC
rnacentral:rRNA from 1 species